rnacentral:tRNA from 1 species
UGGCUCACUUGGUAGAGCAUGGUGUUUGCAACGCCAGGGUUGUGGGUUUGAUUCCCAC